rnacentral:rRNA from 1 species
GAUCCAUGGCUCAGGAUGAACGCUAGCUACAGGCUUAACACAUGCAAGUCGAGGGGAAACGACAUCGAAAGCUUGCUUCCGAUGGGCGUCGACCGGCGCACGGGUGAGUAACGCGUAUCCAACCUGCCCACCACUUGGGGAUAACCUUGCGAAAGUAAGACUAAUACCCAAUGAUAUCUCUAGAAGACACCUGAAAGAGAUUAAAGAUUUAUCGGUGAUGGAUGGGGAUGCGU